GAAAAUCCGUCCGUCGUACGUUGGAUUUCCUAGUCUCCAGGGUCAAGUACAUAUAUUCUGUAGAGUAGCUUUGAAACAAGAUGUUUUUAUACAAUUAAAAUGGAACUGACUAGAAGAAAAGCGACCAAUUAAUACAAAUAUAUACAUACCUCGGCUCGAGUAUAUAAGUCAUGUUUGCGUGGUUAUAGUUAAUACAAGCGUUACAGCCGUGCUAAACUGUGGUACGACGCUGCAAGACACAUUUUUGAUGCAUCUUUCAGAGGAAACAAGGUGCCCAAGGCAAUAUUAAUCCUUCUGACAGGCUGGUGAGUUUUAAAGUGGAGAUCCAGGUUUGAUGAGGCCCUCUGCUGAGCGCCGUGUAGGUUGGCGGUAUUGAGGCGAGAUGUUGAGCAGGUGGUAAGAGAAUUAACCAGGAAGCCCAGAGAAAGCAGAUGGAUGUAAGCCACUGAAAACAGAUUCUACAGCAGGCCAGCGCAAACCAGGAAGAAUAACAAAUUACCUAAAA